UUGACCUCGGAUCAGGUAGGGAUACCCGCG
rnacentral:rRNA from 3 species